rnacentral:rRNA from 1 species
CACGCNGUAAACGAUGAGUGCUAGGUGUUAGACCCUUUCCGGGGUUUAGUGCCGCAGCUAACGCAUUAAGCACUCCGCCUGGGGAGUACGACCGCAAGGUNGAAACUCAAAGGAAUUGACGGGGGCCCGCACAAGCGGUGGAGCAUGUGGUUUAAUUCGAAGCAACGCGAAGAACCUUACCAGGUCUUGACAUCCCUCUGACCGCUCUAGAGAUAGAGUUUUCCUUCGGGACAGAGGUGACAGGUGGUGCAUGGUUGUCGUCAGCUCGUGUCGUGAGAUGUUGGGUUAANNNNNNCAACGAGCGCAACCCCUAUUGUUAGUUGCCAUCAUUUAGUUGGGCACUCUAGCGAGACUGCCGGUAAUAAACCGGAGGAAGGUGGGGAUGACGUCAAAUCAUCAUGCCCCUUAUGACCUGGGCUACACACGUGCUACAAUGGCUGGUACAACGAGUCGCAAGCCGGUGACGGCAAGCUAAUCUCUUAAAGCCAGUCUCAGUUCGGAUUGUAGGCUGCAACU